UUCGUAGGUGGUGCGGCAAGUUGGGAGUGAAAUCUCUGGGCUUAACCCAGAGGCUGCUUUCAAAACUGCCGUGCUCGAGUGCGGGAGAGGCCAGUGGAAUUGCAGGUGUAGCGGUGAAAUGCGUAGAUAUCUGCAGGAACACCCGUGGCGAAGGCGGCUGGCUGGACCGCAACUGACACUGAGGAACGAAAGCUAGGGGAGCAAACAGGAUUAGAUACCCUGGUAGUCCUAGCCCUAAACCAUCAGAACUUGGGGUGGCCCGCGUAGGCGGGUCGUCCCGCAGCUAACGCGUUAAGUUCUGCGCCUGGGGAGUACGGUCGCAAGACUGAA
rnacentral:rRNA from 1 species